GAUGAACGCGGGCGGCGUGCCUAAUACAUGCAAGUCGAGCGAAUGGAUUAAGAGCUUGCUCUUAUGAAGUUAGCGGCGGACGGGUGAGUAACACGUGGGUAACCUGCCCAUAAGACUGGGAUAACUACGGGAAACCGGGGCUAAUACCGGAUAACAUUUUGAACCGCACGGUUCGAAAUUGAAAGGCGGCUUCGGCUGUCACUUAUGGAUGGACUCGCGUCGCAUUAGCUAGUUGGUGAGGUAACGGCUCACCAAGGCAACGAUGCGUAGCCGACCUGAGAGGGUGAUCGGUCACACUGGGACUGAGACACGGCCCAGACUCCUACGGGAGGCAGCAGUAGGGAAUCUUCCGCAAUGGACGAAAGUCUGACGGAGCAACGCCGCGUGAGUGAUGAAGGCUUUCGGGUCGUAAAACUCUGUUGUUAGGGAAGAACAAGUGCUAGUUGAAUAAGCUGGCACCUUGACGGUACCUAACCAGAAAGCCACGGCUAACUACGUGCCAGCCGCCGCGGUAA
rnacentral:rRNA from 1 species